UCUCUCUCUCUCUCUCGCCCCCCCCCCCCAAGCCUCCACUUUCUCCGCCCAGACCUGCAGCCUCUGCCUUGAUUAAUUGAUUCACCCCAGCCGCGUCUCCUCCGUCAACCCCUGUUUGAAGUUCCAAACCGCUUUAUUAUUUAUCGGCCACCUAACCGAGAGAGACAGGGGAAACCCAGAAGCCUGGCCGAAUUGCGGUCGCCCUUCCUUGGCGAUUGGCCUUCUUGCAAAGUGUUGGCAAGAAGGCAACCUGCGCAGACAAGGGACCCUAAACCUCGGCCUGUUGGUGAGGUGCGCUGCAGGAUUUCUUUAUUGCUCCUGGCAGACUGAAGAUGGCUCCAUAAAAAGUGGAACUGAUGACUGUGGCAAAGAACAAAGACCUGGUGGAUAGACCACCUCUUCAAACUUGUCUGGACAAGGAGAGGGCUUGAGAUUGCCCACAAGUGCUCCAAACAACUGCUUUUGCUCCUUGUGAGGAGACCAAAAGAUGGAAGUCUCCAGAGGGUUUAAUGCUCUGGGAGACAAGGGAAUAGCUAUCUUGUUCAAACUGCACUUGGCACUUUUGAAAGAACCCAUAUUUUCUUUUCUAAACACUUUUGGAAAUUGCUUGUUAAUUGCUUUUCAGUUAUUGGGAGAUUUUGUACUGACAAGUUUGAAAGCAGCAAGUGAGUUUCCCUUCUAUCCUUAGCAAACUGAAGUUUUAACCACAGGUUUAAGUACUUACAUUUUUCUAAUAAACAACAAAAAACUGAUUAAAACUUUGAUGUUAAAAGGUUACAAAUGGACUGGGGGCCAACAAAAUUUGAAAUAAGAUUUUCGAAUUAAUCCUUAAUCCUUCCCAUGGGAAGAAGCUUUUGUUUUGAAUUUUGUUUAAAAAAUAAAAUUUAAAAAAUGAGA